rnacentral:rRNA from 1 species
CACGUAGGGCGCAAGCGUUGUCCGGAAUUAUUGGGCGUAAAGAGCUCGUAGGCGGUCUGUUGCGUCUGCUGUGAAAACCCGGGGCUUAACCCCUGGCUUGCAGUGGAUACGGACAGACUAGAGGUAGGUAGGGGAGAAUGGAAUUCCCGGUGUAGCGGUGAAAUGCGUAGAGAUGUGGAGGAACACCAGUGGCGAAGGCGACUCUUUGGCCUGUAACUGACGCUGAGGCGCGAAAGCGUGGGGAGCAAACAGG